rnacentral:lncRNA from 1 species
GCCGAGUCCAAUGGCCUCCUCCCGCAGCAGUAGGACAUGACGAGUGGCACCAUCAUCCUGACCACCGGCACCGAUGGCGGCGGCAGUGGUGACGGCAACAAGAGCAACGAGGACGGCAAAGGCAAAGGCAAGCACAAGCACUCAGGAGGAGACAGCAGCGACGGUGACGAGGGGAAAGGCGAAGUGCGCACGUUACCAUCCUCGUCGUCCAGAGCAACAGCGAGCGGCACCGCCAGCAACCUCAACUCGAAGUGUCGCCAUGGCGUGCUCGCGGUGAUCAACUGGUGCGCGAUGAUCCCCACCGGCGUGAUGAUGGCACGAUUCCUGAAGCGGUUCGACCCGAUCUGGUUCUACGCACACGCUGCCGUCCAGGGUCUCUUGGUGGCCAUUGCCGUUGGGUUCAGGAUGGACAGGUCAUUUUGGUACUUUCAACGCUCUUUCUCUCUCUUUUUCCGCCAGAAAUAAUAAAAUAAUA